GCGAAAGCUAGUUGUAUUAUUAAUUAAUGCAAGAUCGACUACGUCGACUAAAGUUCUAGGUAGAAUAAUGAUGAUGACAAUUUUUUACCUAUAUGUCUUGACCAAGUCUCGUGCCAGCAGUCGCGGUAAUACGUGGAAGACUAGUGUUAUUCAUCUUUAUUAGGUUUAAAGGGUACCUAGACGGUAUUUCUAGCCCAAAAUAGGGUACGGAUUUACUAGAGUUUUAUGUGAGGAGGGGAGUACUCGUGGAGUAGAGAUGAAAUUUUGUUAUACUAUGAGGUAACUGGUGGCGGCGAAAGCAACCUUCUAUGUAUAAACUGACGUUGAGGGACGAAGGCUUGGGUAGCAAAUAGGAUUAGAUACCCUAGUAGUCCAAGCAGACAAUUCUGAAUGCCAUAGAUUAGAUUAUUUUUGGUCUAUAAAUGAAAGUGUAAGCAUUCCACCUUAGGAGUAAUGUGGCAACACAGGAACUGAAAUCAUUAGACCGUUUCUGAAACCAGUAGUGAAGUAUGUUAUUUAAUUUGAUGGUCCACACAAAACCUUACCACAACUUGAAUAUUUUUUUUCAUUAAUACAGGAGUUGCAUGGCUGUCUUCAGUUAAUGUCGUGAGAUUUUGGUUAACUCCAUUAAUUAACGUAAACCCAUACUUUAUUUA
rnacentral:rRNA from 1 species